CCUACGGGAGGCAGCAGUAGGGAAUAUUGCACAAUGGGGGAAACCCUGAUGCAGCAACGCCGCGUGGAUGAAGAAGGUUUUCGGAUUGUAAACCUCUUUUGUUAGAGAAGAAAAAGACGGUAUCUAACGAAUAAGAAUCCGCUAACACCGUGCCAGCAGCCGCGGUAAUACGGCGGGUGCAAGCGCUACUCGGAAUCACUGGGCGUAAAGAGAGCGUAGGUGGGAUAGCAAGUCUGAUGUGAAAUCCUAUGGCUUAACCAUAGAACUGCAUUUGAAACUGUUAUUCUAGAGUGUAGGAGAGGUAAGUGGAAUUCUUGGUGUAGCGGUAAAAUGCGUAGAGAUCAGGAGGAAUACUCGUUGCGAAGGCGGCCUGCUGGAACGUAACUGACGCUGAGGCGCGAAAGCGUGGGGAGCAAACAGGAUUAGAUACCCGGGUAGUC
rnacentral:rRNA from 1 species